AUAUCAAUAAGCGGAGGAAAAGAAACCAACAGGGAUUGCCUUAGUAACGGCGAGUGAAGCGGCAACAGCUCAAAUUUGAAAUCUGGCUUCAGUCGAGGCCCGAGUUGUAAUUUGUAGAGGAUGUUUCGGGCGCGGUACCGGCCUAAGUUCCUUGGAACAGGGCGUCAUAGAGGGUGAGAAUCCCGUCUGCGGCCGGCCUCCAACCCCAUACGAAACUCCUUCGACGAGUCGAGUUGUUUGGGAAUGCAGCUCAAAAUGGGUGGUAAAUUUCAUCUAAAGCUAAAUACCUGCCAGAGACCGAUAGCGCACAAGUA
rnacentral:rRNA from 1 species